rnacentral:rRNA from 1 species
UACGAAGGGGGCUAGCGUUGCUCGGAAUCACUGGGCGUAAAGGGUGCGUAGGCGGGUCUUUAAGUCAGGGGUGAAAUCCUGGAGCUCAACUCCAGAACUGCCUUUGAUACUGAGGAUCUUGAGUUCGGGAGAGGUGAGUGGAACUGCGAGUGUAGAGGUGAAAUUCGUAGAUAUUCGGAAGAACACCAGUGGCGAAGGCGGCUCACUGGACCGGUAUUGACGCUGAGGUGCGAAAGCGUGGGGAGCAAACAGG